GAAGAGCUCAAUUUGAAAAUCGACUACCUAAGCGGGUCGUCGAGUUGUAGCCUAGAGACGUACUAUCAGCUGAAACCUGGGUAUAAGUUCUUUGGAAUGAGGCAUCAUAGAGGGUGAGAAUCCCGUAUAUGACCCAAAGCUUUCAGCGUACGAUGUAUGUUCAUCGAGUCGAGUUGUUUGGGAUUGCAGCUCUAAAUGGGUGGUAAGUUUCAUCUAAAGCUAAAUAAUGGCGAGAGACCGAUAGCGAACAAGUACCGUGAGGGAAAGAUGAAAAGAACUUUGAAAAGAGAGUUAAAAGUACUUGAAAUUGCUAAGAGGGAAGCGCUGACAACCAGUGCUUCACGUCGUUCAUCGCUAUCAGCUCCACUGGAUAGCGCGAGUAGUUGGAAACUCUGCUUGCGACAUCGAAAGGGAAGUUGGUGGUUUAGGACGGCGGGUUAGUCAAGAUCCGUUCGAAUUGUGGGAGAAGGUAGUGAGAAAGGUAGGAGACUCCGGUCUCUGUUAUAGUCUUAUUACUCUACCUCGGCUUGGACGGAGGAAGGAAUAGUGCGCUGCUUGCGGCUUAGUCCUAUGCUCCUAUGAUCCCAGUUGCUCUGAUAGCAAUGCUAUCUUUGUGAUGAAAGGUCAUACUGGGUAUGGUGACUCUAUGUGCUAUCACGAUCUUGUACGAAAUGGUUGUCAUCGACCCGUCUUGAAACACGGACCAAGGAGUCUAACAUCUAUGCGAGUAUUUGAGUGAAAAACUCUGAUGCGCAAUGAAAGUAAAGGUAGCUUCGGCUGCUGAGGUAGGAAUCCGGUCAAACGGAGGCACUAUCGACCGAUCAUCACUUGUGAAAGAUUUGAGUAAGAGCAUAUCUGUUGGGACCCGAAAGAUGGUGAUCUAUGCCUGAACAGGGUGAAGCCAGGAGAAAUUCUGGUGGAGGCUCGUAGCGAUACUGACGUGCAAAUCGUUCGUCUGAUUUGGGUAUAGGGGCGAAAGACUAAUCGAACCAUCUAGUAGCUGGUUCCCUCCGAAGUUUCCCUCAGGAUAGCUGGAACUUAUACAGUUUUAUCAGGUAAAGCUAAUGAUUAGAGGUUCCGGAGCUGAAACAGCUUUGACCUAUUCUCAAACUUUAAAUAGGUAAGAAGUCCCGUGUUACUUAACUGAACCGGGACAUCGAAUGGAAGUUCUUAGUGGGCCAUUUUUGGUAAGCAGAACUGGCGAUGCGGGAUGAACCGGACGUUGAGUUACGGUGCCAAACUAUUCGCUCAUCUAGAUCCCUCAAAAGGUGUUGGUUCAUUUAGACAGC
rnacentral:rRNA from 1 species